rnacentral:rRNA from 1 species
AGAACGAACGCUGGCGGCAGGCUUAACACAUGCAAGUCGAGCGCCCCUCACGGGGAGCGGCAGACGGGUGAGUAACGCGUGGGAACAUACCCUUUUCUACGGAAUAACGCAUGGAAACGUGUGCUAAUACCGUAUACGCCCUUAGGGGGAAAGAUUUAUCGGAGAAGGAUUGGCCCGCGUUGGAUUAGCUAGUUGGUGGGGUAAAGGCCUACCAAGGCGACGAUCCAUAGCUGGUCUGAGAGGAUGAUCAGCCACAUUGGGACUGAGACACGGCCCAGACUCCUACGGGAGGCAGCAGUGGGGAAUAUUGGACAAUGGGCGCAAGCCUGAUCCAGCCAUGCCGCGUGGAUGAUGAAGGCCUUAGGGUUGUAAAGUCCGUUUUAACGGGGAAGAUAAUGACGGUACCCGUAGAAUAAGCCCGGCUAACUUCGUGCCAGCAACCGC